rnacentral:tRNA from 1 species
GGGCCCAUAGCUCAGUUGGUCAGAGCGCUGGUCUUAUAAGCCAGAGGUCCAGGGUUCGAAACCCUGUGGGCCCA